AGAAAUAACAAUACAGGGCAAUUGUCUUGUAAUUGGAAUGAUGGUGACGUAAAAUCUCACCAGAGUAACAAUUGGAGGGCAAGUCUGCUGCCAGCAGCCACGGUAAUUCCAGCUCCAAUAGCGUAUAUUAAACUUGUUGCAGUUAAAAAGCUCGUAGUUGAAUUUCUGCGUUGCCCGACUCGGCUACUUGCCUUGUCUGGUUUCGCUUUUGGGGUUUUCCCCUUUUUACUUUGAGAAAAUUAGAGUGUUUCAAGCAGACUUGUGUCUUGAAUACUUCAGCAUGGAAUAAUAAAGUAGGACUUUGGUUCUAUUUUGUUGGUUUGUGAACCUUAGUAAUGGUUAAUAGGAACGGUUGGGGGCAUUCGUAUUUAACUGUCAGAGGUGAAAUUCUUAGAUUUGUUAAAGACGAACUACUGCGAAAGCAUUUGCCAAGGACGUUUUCAUUAAUCAAGAACGAAAGUUAGGGGAUCGAAGACGAUCAGAUACCGUCGUAGUCCUAACCAUAAACCAUGCCGACUAGGGAUUGGAGGUCGUCAUUUUUCGACUCCUUCAGCAC
rnacentral:rRNA from 1 species